rnacentral:rRNA from 1 species
GUAGGUGGCAAGCGUUGUCCGGAAUUAUUGGGGCGUAAAGCGCGAGCAGGCGGUCCUUUAAGUCUGAUGUGAAAGCCCACGGGCUCAACCGUGGAGGGUCAUUGGAAACUGGGGGACUUGAGUACAGAAGAGGAAAGCGGAAUUCCACGUGUAGCGGUGAAAUGCGUAGAGAUGUGGAGGAACACCAGUGGCGAAGGCGGCUUUCUGGUCUGUAACUGACGCUGAGGCGCGAAAGCGUGGGGAGCAAACAGGAUUAGAUACCCUGGUAGUCCACGCCGUAAACGAUGAGUGCUAAGUGUUAGGGGGUUUCCGCCCCUUAGUGCUGCAGCUAACGCAUUAAGCACUCCGCCUGGGGAGUACGGCCGCAAAUGCUG